rnacentral:rRNA from 1 species
UACGUAGGGGGCAAGCGUUGUCCGGAUUUAUUGGGCGUAAAGAGCGUGUAGGCGGUCUGGUAGGUCCGUUGUGAAAACUCGAGGCUCAACCUCGAGACGCCGAUGGAAACCAUCAGACUAGAGUCCGGAAGAGGAGAGUGGAAUUCCCGGUGUAGCGGUGAAAUGCGCAGAUAUCGGGAGGAACACCGGUGGCGAAGGCGGUUCUCUGGGCCUUACCUGACGCUGAGGAGCGAAAGCGUGGGGAGCGAACAGG